rnacentral:rRNA from 1 species
CCCGGGAACUACGAGCCAAGCUUAAAACCCAAAGGACUUGACGGUACCCCAUAUCCCCCUAGAGGAGCCUGUCCUAUAAUCGAUAACCCCCGUUUAACCUCACCAUUUCUAGCAACUCAGCCUGUAUACCUCCGUCGUCAGCUUACCACGUGAGCGCUAGUGAGCUCAAUGUUUUUUCAACUAAACGUCAGGUCAAGGUGCAACACAUGAAAUGGGAAGAGAUGGGCUACACUUUCUAAGAUAGAUCACACGGAAGACUAACUAUGAAAUCUAGUCAGAAGG